ACGAACGCUGGCGGCGUGCCUAAUACAUGCAAGUCGAGCGGACCUUCGGGGUUAGCGGCGGACGGGUGAGUAACACGUGGGUAAUCUGCCCAACUGACUGGAAUAACGCCUGGAAACGGGUGCUAAUGCCGGAUAGGCAACUGGUAGGCAUCUACCGGUUGGGAAAGGUGCAACUGCACCGCAGAUGGAGGAGCCCGCGGCGCAUUAGCUAGUUGGUGGGGUAACGGCCUACCAAGGCGACGAUGCGUAGCCGACCUGAGAGGGUGGACGGCCACACUGGGACUGAGACACGGCCCAGACUCCUACGGGAGGCAGCAGUAGGGAAUCUUCCGCAAUGGGCGCAAGCCUGACGGAGCAACGCCGCGUGAGCGAAGAAGGCCUUCGGGUUGUAAAGCUCAGUCACUCGGGAAGAGCGGAUGAGGGAGUGGAAAGCCCUCAUCGAGACGGUACCGAGAGAGGAAGCCCCGGCUAACUACGUG
rnacentral:rRNA from 1 species